AAAUUGAAGAGUUUGAUCAUGGCUCAGAUUGAACGCUGGCGGCAGGCCUAACACAUGCAAGUCGAACGGUAACAGGAAUCAGCUUGCUGAUUCGCUGACGAGUGGCGGACGGGUGAGUAAUGUCUGGGAAACUGCCUGAUGGAGGGGGAUAACUACUGGAAACGGUAGCUAAUACCGCAUAAUGUCGCAAGACCAAAAAGGGGGACCUUCGGGCCUCUUGCCAUCAGAUGUGCCCAG
rnacentral:rRNA from 1 species